rnacentral:rRNA from 1 species
GACGAACGCUGGCGGCGUGCCUAAUACAUGCAAGUAGAACGCUGAAGAGAGGAGCUUGCUCUUCUUGGAAGAGUUGCGAACGGGUGAGUAACGCGUAGGUAACCUGCCUUGUAGCGGGGGAUAACUAUUGGAAACGAUAGCUAAUACCGCAUAACAAUGGGUGACCCAUGUCAUUCAUUUGAAAGGGGCAACUGCUCCACUACAAGAUGGACCUGCGUUGUAUUAGCUAGUAGGUGAGGUAACGGCUCACCUAGGCGACGAUACAUAGCCGACCUGAGAGGGUGAUCGGCCACACUGGGACUGAGACACGGCCCAGACUCCUACGGGAGGCAGCAGUAGGGAAUCUUCGGCAAUGGGGGCAACCCUGACCGAGCAACGCCGCGUGAGUGAAGAAGGUUUUCGGAUCGUAAAGCUCUGUUGUAAGUCAAGAACGAGUGUGAGAGUGGAAAGUUCACACU